AUUGAACGCUGGCGGAGUGCUUUACACAUGCAAGUCGAACGGUAGAGGGGGCAACCCCUCGAGAGUGGCGAACGGGUGAGUAAUAUAUCGGAACGUGCCCAGUCGUGGGGGAUAACGUAGCGAAAGUUACGCUAAUACCGCAUACGAUCUAAGGAUGAAAGCGGGGGAUCGCAAGACCUCGCGCGAUUGGAGCGGCCGAUAUCAGAUUAGGUAGUUGGUGGGUUAAAGGCUCACCAAGCCAACGAUCUGUAGCUGGUCUGAGAGGACGACCAGCCACACUGGAACUGAGACACGGUCCAGACCCCUACGGGAGGCAGCAGUGGGGAAUUUUGGACAAUGGACGCAAGUCUGAUCCAGCCAUUCCGCGUGCAGGAUGAAGGCCCUCGGGUUGUAAACUGCUUUUGUACGGAACGAAAAGGUCUCUCUUAAUACGGGGGACUCAUGACGGUACCGUAAGAAUAAGCACCGGCUAACUACGUGCCAGCCGCCGCGGUAACAC
rnacentral:rRNA from 1 species